UACGUAGGGGGCGAGCGUUGUCCGAAGUUACUGGGCGUAAAGAGCGCGUAGGCGGGUCUUUAAGUGAGAGGUGAAAGGUUCAGGGCUCAACCCGGACACUGCCUUUCAUACUGGGGACCUUGAGUGCGGGAGAGGCGAGUGGAAUGGUCGGUGUAGCGGUGAAAUGCGUAGAUAUGCGGAGGAACACCGAUGGCGAAGGCAAUCCCCUGGGCCUGCACUGACGCUCAUGCACGAAAGCGUGGGGAGCAAACAGG
rnacentral:rRNA from 1 species